rnacentral:rRNA from 1 species
UACGAAGGGGGCUAGCGUUGCUCGGAAUCACUGGGCGUAAAGGGUGCGUAGGCGGGUCUUUAAGUCAGAGGUGAAAUCCUGGAGCUCAACUCCAGAACUGCCUUUGAUACUGAAGAUCUUGAGUUCGGGAGAGGUGAGUGGAACUGCGAGUGUAGAGGUGAAAUUCGUAGAUAUUCGCAAGAACACCAGUGGCGAAGGCGGCUCACUGGCCCGAUACUGACGCUGAGGCAUGAAAGCGUGGGGAGCAAACAGG